rnacentral:tRNA from 1 species
UGCGGGGUAGAGCAGUCUGGUAGCUCGCCUGGCUCAUAACCAUGAGGUCGUCGGUUCAAAUCCGACCCCCGCAACCA